rnacentral:rRNA from 1 species
CUGCAGCUCAAGUGGUGACCACUAUUAUUGGGCCUAAAACGUUCGUAGCCGGUUUGGUAAAUGCCUGGGUAAAUCGUGUAGCUUAACUAUACGAAUUCCGGGUAGACUGCCAGACUUGAGACCGGGAGAAGCUAGAGGUACUCCUGGGUAGAGGUGAAAUUCUGUAAUCCUAGGGGGACCACCAGUGGCGAAGGCGUCUAGCUAGAACGGGUCUGACGGUGAGGGACGAAGCCCUGGGGCACAAACCGGAUUAGAUACCCGAGUAGUCC